rnacentral:rRNA from 1 species
GAAGGAAAUUAAGUACGGAAGUUCCUGAUUUCACGCUGUCAAGAAAAGCCUCUAGGAAGAGUAGUACUGCCCGUACCGCAAACCGACACAGGUAGAUGAGGAGAGAAUCCUAAGGUGAGCGAGAGAACUCUCGUUAAGGAACUCGGCAAAAUGACCCCGUAACUUCGGGAGAAGGGGUGCUCUAUUAGGGUGCAAGCCCGAGAGAGCCGCAGUGAAUAGGCCCAGGCGACUGUUUAGCAAAAACACAGGUCUCUGCAAAACCGUAAGGUGACGUAUAGGGGCUGACGCCUGCCCGGUGCUGGAAGGUUAAGAGGAGUGCUUAGCUUCGGCGAAGGUACGAAUUGAAGCCCCAGUAAACGGCGGCCGUAACUAUAACGGUCCUAAGGUAGCGAAAUUCCUUGUCGGGUAAGUUCCGACCCGCACGAAAGGCGCAACGAUCUGGGCACUGUCUCAACGAGAGACUCGGUGAAAUUAUAGUACCUGUGAAGAUGCAGGUUACCCGCGACAGGACGGAAAGACCCCGUGGAGCUUUACUGCAACCUGAUAUGGAAUGUUUGUACCGCUUGUACAGGAUAGGUAGGAGCCGAAGAG